UACGUAGGGUCCGAGCGUUGUCCGGAGUUACUGGGCGUAAAGCGCGCGCAGGCGGCUUCAUAAGUCUGGCGUGAAAGCCCCCGGCUCAACCGGGGAGGGUCGUCGGAGACUGUGGAGCUUGAGGGCGGUAGGGGCUGGUGGAAUUCCCGGUGUAGUGGUGAAAUGCGUAGAGAUCGGGAGGAACACCGGUGGCGAAGGCGGCAUCCUGGACCAACACUGACACUGAGGAGCGAAAGCCAGGGGAGCAACGGG
rnacentral:rRNA from 1 species